UAUUAGGCAAACCAAAAGUAUUUAUAGUUCAAUCAUGUCGAGGUGAGGCGAUUCAACAAAAACAGAAAAAUGAAAGAAUUCAAAGAAUAGACCAGUUUGAUUCCUCAAGCCAACUAAAUAGAUUACCAACAGAGGCUGAUAUACUAAAGAUUUAUGCAACAACUCCUGGACACUUAGCUCACCGAAGAUCUGGAUCAAAUACCUGGAAUGGAUCCUGGUUGAUAAAUGCAUUCUUAGACACAGCAGAGCAGAACCCUGAACUUCAUGUUGAUGAAAUGAUGACAGUAGUUAGACGUCAAUUAUCGACAAAUCCGGAAUACGAAUAUGAUGGUGAAAAGUGCCAAAUAGCAGUUUCUGAAACGACCCUUACAAAACUGUUUUAUUUGUGAGGAAAUAUUUUUUCAAAGAUAAUUCAACUGUCUUCCCUCAUCCUGUAUUAUAAUUUCUUAAGGACCCAAUAAUCCGAGAAUGUAUGCAUUCUGGGGAAAAUCAGUGCUUCUACUUGUCAAAAUAUGAGUCCAAUCUUUUAUCUUUUCUUUAUCCGGAAAUCUUCUCGGAAUCCACAAGGAAUAUUACGUCAAAUAGGUCAUAAUCUAGUAUGAUGUAGUUUAUAAAUAAAAAGUGUCAAUCCA